rnacentral:rRNA from 1 species
CCCUUAGAUGUUCUGGGCCGCACGCGCGCUACACUGACGAAGUCAGCGAGCAUGUCCUACGCCGACAGGUGCGGGGAAUCUUGUCAAACUUCGUCGUGAUGGGGAUUGAUUAUUGAAAUUCUUGAUCAUCAACGAGGAAUUCCUAGUAAGCGCAAGUCAGCAGCUUGCGUUGAUUACGUCCCUGCCCUUUGUACACACCGCCCGUCGCUACUACCGAUUGAAUGGUUUAGUGAGAUCUUCGGAUUGGCGCCACUGCGGCUCAGCAAUGGGCUCGGUGGAUGCCGAAAAGUUGUUCAAACUUGAUCAUUUAGAGGAAGUAAAAGUCGUAACA